rnacentral:tRNA from 1 species
UUGGGGUAUCGCCAAGCGGUAAGGCAGCGGUUUUUGGUACCGCCAUUCCUAGGUUCGAAUCCUAGUACCCCAGCCA